rnacentral:rRNA from 1 species
UGGGGAAUUUUCCGCAAUGGGCGGAAGCCUGACGGAGCAAUACCGCGUGAGGGAGGAAUGCCUUUGGGUUGUAAACCUCUUUUCUCAGGGAAGAAGAUCUGACGGUACCUGAGGAAUAAGUAUCGGCUAACUCCGUGCCAGCAGCCGCGGUAAUACGGAGGAUGCAAGCGUUAUCCGGAAUCAUUGGGCGUAAAGCGUCCGCAGGUGGUUUCCAAAGUCUGCUGUUAAAGACUGGAGCUCAACUCCGGAACGGCGGUGGAGACUUGGAAACUAGAGUUCGGUAGGGGUAGCAGGAAUUCCCAGUGUAGCGGUGAAAUGCGUAGAUAUUGGGAAGAACAUCGGUGGCGAAGGCGUGCUACUGGACCGUAACUGACACUCAGGGACGAAAGCUGGGGGAGCGAAAGGGAUUAGAUACCCCUGUAGUCCUAGCUGUAAACGAUGGAAACUAGGUGUGGCUUGA